rnacentral:sRNA from 1 species
GUCGCUGCAAAUUCAGUGACAGGGCGUAGGAACCCUUUUAUGUACCCUUGGCGUCAUAGCGCCAUCGUCUGAUUGCGGCGUUUUUUUU